rnacentral:lncRNA from 1 species
UGUUAUGAGGUGAUGCACUAUCGGGCAUUAAAAAAGUAUUAAAAAAAGGGAGUGUCUUUAGCUUGUGCCGUAGAAUUCAUGAGUGCUAACUCUCGAUCGGUGACAAUUACACCAAGAAGACAAUUAUCAUCCAAUAACGUCCUCAAUCUAGUCAAAGCCCAUUUGGAAAUGGCCCAACAAUCUCAAUAUUAACGGGGCAAGUCUAGAACAAGUCAGUUACAGUAUCACCAGAUGUCCU